rnacentral:lncRNA from 1 species
CAGGGAAAGGGGAAAACAGCAACCUCUUGAGCUGGAGCCUUAGGCUAGAAAAGAUCACUGAUUACCCACCUGUUCCCCCUGGAUACUAGGGCUUCAAUCCAGAAGGUGCUGUGAUGAAGUGGCUUCAGCAAAAUAUUACCUGAGACAUCCUGAUCCAUUAUGAGAACGGCAGCAGCAGGAUUUGGCCUGGGGAUGGAACAAAGGGACCCCCUGCUGUAGAGCAAGGGAGAAGGGAAUUUUAAAGAAGAGAUUGCAUCAAUAAAGAUUCUUUUAGCAUUAUUUUUAUCAUUAUAAAAAUUACACAUACUUGUUUUAGAUUAUUUGAAAACUUCAGAGCUGUAAAGAUGAAAAUAAAAAUUGCUUAUUAUCUUA